GGCCUACGGGGGGCAGCAGUGGGGAAUAUUGCACAAUGGGGGAAACCCUGAUGCAGCGACGCCGCGUGAAGGACGAAGUAUUUCGGAACGUAAACUUCUAUCAGCAGGGAAGAAAAUGACGGUACCUGACCAAGAAGCCCCGGCUAACUACGUUCCAGCCGCCGCGGGAAUACGUAGGGGGCAAGCGUUAUCCGGAUUUACUGGGUGGAAAGGGAGCGGAGACGGCCGUGCAAGUCUGAUGUGUAAACCCGGGGCUCAAACCCGGGACUGCAUUGGAAACUGCAUG
rnacentral:rRNA from 1 species